UGGGGAAUUUUGGACAAUGGGCGAAANCCUGAUCCAGCAAUGCCGCGUGUGUGAAGAAGGCCUUCGGGUUGUAAAGCACUUUUGUCCGGAAAGAAAUCCUUGGCUCUAAUACAGUCGGGGGAUGACGGUACCGGAAGAAUAAGCACCGGCUAACUACGUGCCAGCAGCCGCGGUAAUACGUAGGGUGCAAGCGUUAAUCGGAAUUACUGGGCGUAAAGCGUGCGCAGGCGGUUUGCUAAGACCGAUGUGAAAUCCCCGGGCUCAACCUGGGAACUGCAUUGGUGACUGGCAGGCUAGAGUAUGGCAGAGGGGGGUAGAAUUCCACGUGUAGCAGUGAAAUGCGUAGAGAUGUGGAGGAAUACCGAUGGCGAAGGCAGCCCCCUGGGCCAAAUACUGACGCUCAUGCACGAAAGCGUGGGGAGCAAACAGGAUUAGAUACCCUGGUAGUCCACGCCCUAAAACGAUGUCAACUAGUUGUU
rnacentral:rRNA from 1 species